rnacentral:misc_RNA from 1 species
GUCGUAACAAGGUUUCCGUAGGUGAACCUGCGGAAGGAUCAUUACCACACCAAGGUCCAAGAUCUUAUCUAUUGUGAAUUUAGCCGGCUUAUCGACUCAACACUAUACAUUACGUGUAGUGGUCGAUUCGCCGGCUGGACUAGUAAAGCAACAAACUGGUGCUUUCUUGAUCUUUUCUGCAUCUUGAAGAAAGAAACUUGUACGCUUGAGUACAAGGCAGAUCUGAUUGAGGGGUGCCCUCCACAAACAAAAUACAGGUAGCGAAACUAAAAUCUAAGAUAAAGUGAGGCAUUGACUAGUAACUAGCACACUGCUGUGAAAAUCAGGCUAAGCAGACCAGAAAUUCAUUACAACUUUCAGCGAUGGAUGUCUAGGUUCCCA